rnacentral:lncRNA from 1 species
AUGUGGAAAGAGGAAGAGGACCUGGAAGAGCACAUGGAAGUGGAUGAUGUCAAGGGAAGAGAACAGUUAUGUCACUUGUGCAGAAGAGCCUUCAAAAGAAAAAAAAUCUUCACAAAAACUGCCAGAAAUACCCACAAUUUCAUUCUUAUCAUUCUGAUCAUUGAGGUCAUCCCUCCUCCUGUUUGGAAACAGCUGCAGUGGUUGCACAGGGAUGCUGGAAUCCAAGGAAUUCUAGCAUCAAUUCCAAUGCCAACAUUGACUUCUCCCAAUUUAAUGAAAAAGGUGUGGAG